rnacentral:tRNA from 1 species
GUUUCCGUAGUGUAGUGGUCAACAUGUUUGCCUCACACGCAAAAAGUCCCCAGUUCGAAACUGGGCGGAAACA